AACGAACGCUGGCGGCAUGCCUAACACAUGCAAGUCGAACGAGACCUUCGGGUCUAGUGGCGCACGGGUGCGUAACGCGUGGGAACCUGCCCUUAGGUUCGGAAUAACUCCCCGAAAGGGGUGCUAAUACCGGAUAAUGUCUUCGGACCAAAGAUUUAUCGCCUUUGGAUGGGCCCGCGUUGGAUUAGCUAGUUGGUAGGGUAAAAGCCUACCAAGGCGACGAUCCAUAGCUGGUCUGAGAGGAUGAUCGGCCACACUAGGACUGAGACACGGCCCAGACUCCUACGGGAGGCAGCAGUGGGGAAUAUUGGACAAUGGGCGAAAGCCUGAUCCAGCAAUGCCGCGUGAGUGAUGAAGGCCUUAGGGUUGUAAAGCUCUUUUACCCGGGAUGAUAAUGACAGUACCGGGAGAAUAAGCUCCGGCUAACUCCGUG
rnacentral:rRNA from 1 species